rnacentral:snRNA from 1 species
AUAAAUAAAUUGAAUUAGUUAAUUUAGGGGUCUUGCUAACACUUGACCCACAUUGAGGAGCAUUUCGGGCUCCUCAGGAAAUUUUUUGUCAGGGUACAGGUCGUCCUAGGGGCCCACGCCUACUUUUGCGAGGCGCCCCAGUAAAGCCGGGGACCAGACCCU